rnacentral:rRNA from 1 species
UACGUAGGGUGCGAGCGUUUGUCCGGAAUUAUUGGGCGUAAAGGGCUCGUAGGCGGUUUGUCGCGUCGGGAGUGAAAACCAUGGGCUUAACUCAUGGCUUGCUUUCGAUACGGGCAGACUAGAGGUAUGCAGGGGAGAACGGAAUUCCUGGUGUAGCGGUGAAAUGCGCAGAUAUCAGGAGGAACACCGGUGGCGAAGGCGGUUCUCUGGGCAUGACCUGACGCUGAGGAGCGAAAGUGUGGGGAGCGAACAGG